CCUUGUACACACCGCCCGUCACGUCACGAAAGUUGGUAACACCCGAAGCCGAUGGCCUAACCAGCUUGCUGGGGGGAGUCGUCGAAGGUGGGACUGGCGAUUGGGACG
rnacentral:rRNA from 1 species